rnacentral:snRNA from 1 species
CUCACCUGUGCAAAUAUUGUCCCU